ensembl:lncRNA
GGGGAGAUGAGGAGAGAAGAGAAGAGGAAAGGAGGAAGAGGGGAGGCAAGAAGAAAAGAGGACAAAAUGAGGGGAAGGGGAGGCAAGGAGAGAGGAGGGAAGAGGAGGAGGAGGGGAGGCAAGGAGAGAGGAGGGAAGAGGAGGAGGAGGGGGGGCAAGGAGAGAGGAGGGAAGAGGAGGAGGAGGGGAGGCAAGGAGAGAGGAGGGAAGAGGAGGAGGAGGGGAGGCAAGGAGAGAGGAGAGAAGAGGAGGAGGAGGGGAGGCAAGGAGAGAAGAGGGGAGGCAAGGAGAGAAGAGGAGAGGGGAGGCAGGGACAGAGGAGAGAAGAGGAGGAAGAGGGGAGAGGAGGAGGGGAGGCAAGGAACCAGGAGAUGAGAGGGGAAAAUAGAGGAGAAGAAGAGAGGGGGAGGAGAGGAAAGGUGAGGAGUAAAAUCCAACAUUUUCAGUCAAUAAAAACAUUUCCAUUCACAAUUUUUAUGAAGUAAUGUCAUAACCACGACAGAUGUGAUGGAAACAGGAAGUGGGAUCUUUAACUGGC